CAGCACCUCAAGUGCUCAGGAUGAUUAUUGGGCCUAAAGCAUCCGUAGCCGGCGCUGUAAGUUUUCGGUUAAAUCUGUACGCUCAACGUACAGGCUGCCGGGAAUACUGCAGCGCUAGGGAGUGGGAGAGGUAGACGGUACUCGGUAGGAAGGGGUAAAAUCCUUUGAUCUAUUGAUGACCACCUGUGGCGAAGGCGGUCUACCAGAACACGUCCGACGGUGAGGGAUGAAAGCUGGGGGAGCAAACCGGAUUAGAUACCCGAGUAGUCC
rnacentral:rRNA from 1 species